rnacentral:rRNA from 1 species
AUUGAACGCUGGCGGAAUGCUUUACACAUGCAAGUCGAGCGGCAGCGCGGCCUUCGGGCUGGCGGCGAGCGGCGAACGGGUGAGUAAUGCAUCGGAACAUGCCCAGUCGUGGGGGAUAACACUUCGAAAGAAGUGCUAAUACCGCAUACGUCCUGAGGGGGAAAGCGGGGGAUCGCAAGACCUCGCGCGAUUGGAGUGGCCGAUGUCAGAUUAGCUAGUUGGUGGGGUAAAGGCCUACCAAGGCGACGAUCUGUAGCUGGUCUGAGAGGAUGAUCAGCCACACUGGAACUGAGACACGGCCCAGACUCCUACGGGAGGCAGCAGUGGGGAAUUUUGGACAAUGGGGGCAACCCUGAUCCAGACAUUCCGCGUGAGUGAAGAAGGCCUUCGGGUUGUAAAGCUCUUUCGGCAGGAACGAAACGGUGGGCUCUAACAUAGUCCGCUAAUGACGGUACCUGAAGAAGAAGCACCGGCUAACUACGUG